UUCGCAAUGCCCGAAAGGGUGACGAAGCGACGCCGCGUGUGGGAAGAAGGCCUUCGGGUUGUAAACCACUGUCGGGAGCUAAGAAAUGCAAGGAUAUGAAUAGUGUCUUUGCUUGACUAAGGCUCCGGAGGAAGCCACGGCUAACUCUGUGCCAGCAGCCGCGGUAAUACAGAGGCGGCAAGCGUUGCUCAGAAUUAUUGGGCGUAAAGAGCACGUAGGCGGCUAUGUAAGUCGGUUGUGAAAGCCUUCCGCUCAACGGGAGAACAGCAUCCGAUACUACAUGGCUUGAGUGCGGGAGAGGAGAGUGGAACUUCUGGUGGAGCGGUGAAAUGCGUAGAUAUCAGAAGGAACGCCGGCGGCGAAAGCGGCUCUCUGGCCCAUAACUGACGCUGAGUGUGCGAAAGCUAGGGGAGCAAACGGGAUUAGAUACCCCGGUAGUCCUAGCCGUAAACGAUGGGCACUAAGUAGAGGGGUUUU
rnacentral:rRNA from 1 species